AUUUAUGUACAUAUCUCAUGCCCUCCUUUUCCCUUUAGGAGGUAGCUCGCAUUUCAUAUACCAACACUAUAAGUGACUGCCGCUAAAGGCGCCAUUUUUAGCUCCGCAUUUACUACAAGAUUCUCCAAGUACAAAAUCGCCGGCGGAUGAAGAAGCCUGAAUCUUUAUGUUUACUGCAUGCAAGGAUUCUGAUGGGGAGGGGGUUUGGGGGAGACCGGUCGCGUAAAUAAUUUAUUGGUUCUGGCUUGGGGUCUUCACGCGAAUGCGAAUCCAAAUUGCGUAAUGGGUAGUUGUGUUGACGAGGCGAACAUCCUUCGAUCUACUUGCUUGGAGUGUGAUUUAUUCAACAUACUGGUAUUCAACUUGACUCAGUUUUAAUAAAUGAUAACAAACGUGCUUUAUUUAUCAUGAACACAUGUGUUAAUAACUAAGGGGGUCAAGUGUCAUCGAUGAAUUUCUCUUACAUGUACAUGUAUGGCCAAUAGAGAGAACUUGAUUGCUUUCGACACUCAGAGGACGCCUAUUUUAGAGACAAAUUGGCAUAUCGAACAUGGCACCGGAGGUGAUAGGUAUUCUUUUGAUAUGCAUCGCCGGCUUAACUGUUGCAUUGAAUAACGAAACUGAGACGACUACAGUGUCUACGUGGACGGUGAUACCGGAGACAUGUCCGAAGUACCAUUAUCGACGAGCCGCCACAGAUACUUGCGAAGAUUGUAGUAUACCUUGUGCUCUCGACAAGAAGACGUGCAGUCAAUUCUGUCAAGAUUAUCUCGACUAUCUCGAAGAAGAGGCUCAGCACGCUAAAAACUUUAAGAUAGGUCUUGGAGUCGGAAUCCCAGUUGUCUUUAUUGUGAUGGCGUUAGUGGGAUUGUUCUUAUGCAGAUUCGAGCGCAAACGGCAAGAACAGAGAAUUCGACACCCAGAAUCUGCUGACAACGACGAAGAAAGUUACUGAUUAAAAAAUCGCGUCGUGUGAGUCUAGGAAGCAAAGUGCUGAUCAGACAACAAGCAUGAUUUGAAAGUCUCGUGCGUAACUUGAUUAACCAAACUAAUUCCCGAUUGUCUAUCUUGCCUAAUCAGUCAAUUCAUGGUGUUGUCACGUUUCGCUCAAGUUCUCGGGAUAUUUUGAUUAGCCCUGAUCCAUGAUAAGAGUGUGUCUUGUCGGAAUCAGUGCAACCAGAGUCUUUCAUUAAUUUAUUGAAAGACUGGUGUAACAUGAACUUCACUUUCAACAUGGCGUUAAGUGUAACUUGAUUGUUAUUUGUCUUAUACAAUUACUGCACGGAUGGUGGCAACUACCUCUUCAGCAUUCUGCUUUUUCUUCUCUUGAUUGGGCUGAUAUCAGAACCAUGCCAUGUAAACCCAUUCGGUCUUGAUAUGAAAAAAGACUUAGAAAUGCUUUUCGACUGAAAUUUGACAAAGUCAUGUGCUUUUCUGUAUAUAACUGAAAUAAAAAAAAUAAAAUAAAUCUCCAAAUAUGUAUAUUCUGACAUAAAUACUCAGUCUUGACCGACCAUGCCGAGUGGCAUAUGAUUCUCAAACAAUUUGGCAAGACCCAAUUGAACAUUAUUCCGCAGACAACCUAACAUUCAGAAAACGACUCCAAGUCCCAUCUACACUGAUGCACCUCUACUUUGGGCCGCAUGUGGAUUUAGCGGAAACUGCGGAACCUGCGGACACUUCUUAAAAAGCUAAUUAAGCAGUAGGAAGACAUCUGAUCGGUAUUGAAUACAUCAUCAGUAUUUGUAAUAUUGGUCACGUUUUGUCUUUGUCCUACCAUGGACGUUACCAAAACAGUCCGAGACAAUUUACUCAUGCAUGUUGUGGGUCCUUUCCUUCAUAUGAUGCUUGAUAAAUAUACUUACAUCAGAUACGUGCAAUGGACUAUUACAACUAUCAAUUAUACUCUGAAAUGCAUAUUUCAUAUCAAUUUGAUAUUCUCAUAUACUGUUUUUCCGGGACUGUUUUUAGGCUGUUUUCGCCCAGUUUCCGCAGAUUUCCCAAGUUCCGCAGAUGAGAUUCCGCUAGACCGCAAUAGCCUCUAUACUUUCAGGAAAGAAUUCUCUCGAAAGGACUCGCCUCGGGGCAUAAACCAUUAGAACGGUGUCGGAGCUAGCUGAUGAAUUAAACAAGCGCGAUGAAGACUGAAGUGGAGACCCGGGGACUUGAGUAGUAGAAGCUCUACCAACAAGUAUCACCCAAGAGUAUCAAUAGAUUCCGCUGUCUCACUAUUAGCAUAUAGAGUGCCCUUUCAGCUCUUACUUUAUCAUCAAGUAAAUUCUUGGAAGGAGAUAUUAGAUGUGGAAUUUUGGCAGUGGAGAUAUUUGUCUUG